AGGAACCAAUGAGCGAGGGUCCUCGUUAAAGCGACGCCGACGGUGGGACGGCAGUCGGGAGUUUUGCAGGUCAAGGGCCUUCCUCCUAUCGACCCGGCAACGGCUAUCCGCCCCCACGACGCCAUUAUUUGAUGGCUGCGUCUGUAUAUCUGAAAGAAAAGAGAAAAUUUCCUCGCAAUAAAUCGAAAGAAUUUGGGAAUAUCACGCAGGUCGAUCGGUAAAAGCAAGGUCUCGAACGAAGGAACGAACGCCAUUACCUGGGACUUCUACGGGCUUACCUGACCGAAUCCCCGAAAAAGAAUGAAAACAAAAAAAAAAUAAGAAAAGAAAAGAAAGUCGGAGGUAUAGUAUCAGGAACUACGGUAGCUUUACUUCUUAACUAUCAGGCAACACGGGCACAACAUCGAUCAUCCAAUGCUUUGUCGCGUCAUGCUACAUCUUGUCCAUUCACCUAUCGAUUCAUAAUAUGGCUCCUGUCAGUGCGUAUUAACUAAUAACUCGCUUGAAAAAUAA